CAGUGGCCUGGAGAUGUUCAGGAGAAGCUCGGAGUGGCUGAGAUUUCAUCAUAAUCGAUGCGAAAGCUGAUUUUCAAAAACCUUUACAGUGCAGGAAACGAUGGAAGAAAGUUCAACAGAGCUGGAUGAUAUUCAUGAGGAACCAGAGAGUGAUUCCUUGGAAUCUGAAGUAUCCAGCUGCGCAGUACUAGACCCAGAUUACAAUCCGGAACACAGAACGUCAUCAUCCAGUGAUGUGGAAGAUUUGAGCCCAAACAAAGGUUCAUUGCUUAAGAAACAGUCCAGUAAAGAAUAUCUUGAAGGUCCAGACACAAAUUUGAGUAAUGAUGAUCAGUAAAGAGGGAAGUGCACCAUUUAUUAAAAAAAACAACAACUUAGAACUUAUCUGAAAAGGCACAAACAACUCGAGAUAAACAAAACAAAUAAAGGCAAAUCAACUG